rnacentral:rRNA from 1 species
AGGGCACCACCAGGAGUGGAGCCUGCGGCUUAAUUUGACUCAACACGGGAAAACUUACCUGGUCAGGACACUGGAAGGAUUGACAGAUUGAGAGCUCUUUCUUGAUUCAGUGGGUGGUGGUGCAUGGCCGUUCUUAGUUGGUGGAGCGAUUUGUCUGGUUAAUUCCGAUAACGAACGAGACUCUAGCCUACUAAAUAGACUGCUCAACUUUAUAGCUGCAUCACCUUGCAGUGGCCUCGGUUGCUGUAAGGCUGUGGUGACGUUGGCAGUGCUUCUUAGAGGGACAGGCGGCGGUUCAGCCGCACGAAACAGAGCAAUAACAGGUCUGUGAUGCCCUUAGAUGUCCAGGGCCGCACGCGCGCUACACUGAAGUGAUCAGCGUGCAAUUAACGUUUCCUACUCCGUCAGGAGUGGGUAACCCGUUGAACCUUCUUCGUGAUUGGGAUAGGGGAUUGUAAUUAUUCCCCUUGAACGAGGAAUUCCCAGUAAGCGCAAGUCAUAAGCUUGCGUUGAUUACGU